GGUUUCUUAGUAUAAUGGUUAUCAUAGCGGAUUCUGAUUCCGCUAAUCUGGGCGAUUCAGUAGUGGGAAACUGUGCAGGUUCGAAUCCUGCAGCUCUCA